CCUCACUAGCACUGAAUAGUUAGGUUUGUUUCCUGUAUCAAGCAUGGUUGCCCUCUUGUUGAGCAGGUCUUAAGUCCAAUGAGUCCAAUUUAGUCCAAGGUACACACACAUGCCACAACUGCACCCGGGUUGUCAUGCCAUGCUGGUUGAUGCGGUUCACAGGUGUCAGAGCUGGGAAGGACUGUGAGUUGUCUCCCAUCUCUGGAAUCUCGCAUGGUGCUUUCUGGUACCAGGAAGUCUAAUCCAAAGGGAACAGAAAUGCAGGUCAGUUCUUGCUCUGGGUACCACAGCCAUUUUAUAUCCUGGGUUAAACAACAGUAUCCUCUUUUGGAAACAGUGCCUUUUUAGCUGUUUCCUAGGGCACAGUGCUUUUCAUCCCAGUGCUGCUUUGCUGGUCUCCUUUCUCCUGCUACAAAGUAGAGAGAAGAGGGAUGGAAAACAGGGAGUUUGGAGGACACUGUGAGACAUACGUGCUUGGGUCUGUGGGAAAAUCUCACCUCUGGAGCCAGCUUCAGUGAGUUUACAUAGCACAUGACAAUUUCCUAACAAAAGGUAUUCAUUCCACUGUAAAACUGAAGAAAAUACCUUUUUCUGAAGAACUAGAGAAGCGAGAGAGAAGGAAUCCAGUUGCUUGCUGUGCUGUGUAUUGAGAAUGAGGACAAAAAGGAGAUCAUGCCACACAGCUUCCAGAAGCCACGAUCAAAGAGGAUCAAGCCAACAAAACUAUCUGCCUUUACCCCUGGGUAACUUGAGAUACUCUCUGGCUAUACUUGGGGUGAGGGCCAAACUGCUUGAAGGCCUGUACCUGCAAUUAGUGUGUGUCUACACCUGGGAGAAGACAGCCUGAAAAACUGGAGGAAUAAAUAAAUGCCUUUUCACCUACAAACAA